UGCUAGGUAAUGAUGGCCCAAGCCUUUAAUCCCAAUACUCAGAAGAUAGAGGCAGGCAAAUCUCUUGAGUUUGAGAUCAGCCUGGUCUGCAGAGGGAGUUCUAGACCAACCAGUGCUAUUCAGAGAAAUGUCUCUAAAAUCCAAAACCAAACCAAAAUAACAAAAAAACAGAAUUAUAGCCCUAUAUUUUAGUUUAGUAGAAAAAUAUUGAAACUUUUUAAAAUGAUUUAUUUAUUUAUUAUAUGUAAGUACACUGUGGCUGUUUUCAGACAGGCACCCUAGAAGAGGGCAUCAGAUCUCAUUACGGAUGGUUGUGAGCCACCAUGUGGUUGCUGGGAUUUGAACUCAGGAUCUUUGGAAUAGCAGUCAGUGCUCUUAACCGCUGAGCCAUCUCUGCAGCCCUGAAACAUUUUAUAAAUUUGCUACAUACCAUGUAUUAAAUUCUAGGAAUUUUAAAUGUAAAAAAAAAACAAAAACAAUUAGAAGUCCAGGAAGAAAAUUAGAUUUACCUUGAUCAUUAAAAGAAAUCUUCGUGCCGGGCAUGGUGGCGCACGCCUUUAGUCCCAGCACUCGGGAGGCAGAGGCAGGCGGAUUUCUGAGUUCGAGGUCAGCCUGGUCUACAAAGUGAGUUCCAGGACAGCCAGGGCUACACAGAGAAACCCUGUCUCAAAAAAACCAAGGGAAAAAAAGAAAGAAAGAAAAGAAAUCUUCCUGAGCAGUCCAGGCAGUCUAGAAGCCAAGGGGGCUUGGCUUCAACAAUGCUAGGCAUUUAUUUCCAGUGUGCACAUCAGAGUCCUCAGGGUUGCUAACAGCCAGGACAGUGGCACGAGAAGAGCAAACAUUCUUUUUAUCUAACAGCAAAAAUAUAACAACUGGUGCUGAGAAGAGGCAGGUAAGGGGAAUCUGUUUUGCCUAUCCUGACCUGGAACCUUUGGCUUCACCUGAUCUUUCUGCCUCUGCUUCUGUAGUAGCUAUUACUAUAUAUGUAUGCUAACUGACCAGGUCAGGCUCUCUAUUUUCUGCCUGAGUGCUGUAUAGUUGGUUGUUUUAAUGUUGGCACCAUAGUGUAAGUCACUAUUGGAUCAAGGUCAAGGAAGCACUGGAUAAUUAAGCAAUGACACCAACCUGAAAGUAGGAACACUGGGUUUUGUUUUUAAUUAUUUCUCAUGUUUGGUCAUUAUGACCAAAACUGGAAACAGCUGUUUAUAUUCCACUUCUGGACACACAGAGGGGUAAGAAAGGACAGUGUCGGCCAGUGAAAAUUACUGAGGAACUGUAGUAGUGUUCUAAUUCUUUACCUUAAUCUGCUACUUGAGUAUACUCAGCCUAGUAAUAGAAAAAAAUAUAUAAGGAAAACUGUGAGGUCUAGUGAGGUGCUCAGUGGGUAAAGUUACUUGUUGCUAAGCCUGGCAGCCUGUUUGAGCUCUGGGACACUCAUGCUGGAGAGAGAGAACCAAUUCCCUUUCAUUCUUUCUUUGGUUUCAUAAUCAUGUCUGUACUCCUAUGACUGAAGAAAUGACCGAGCAUGUUGAUUCCAGACAGAAUGACUCAGAUAUGAUAGUACAGAUCUACAAUUCCAGCAUUAGGAGAUCAAGAGGAUCCCAAGUUCAGAGCCAGUUUAUAAACCAGGCAUAGUCUAAUGUUCCUGGAAGGCUGAGGCAGGAAAAUUGCCACAAAUCUGAGAGACCAGCAUGGACUACAUAGUGAGAUCAGGCCAGCCUUGCCUACAAAAUAUCUC
rnacentral:lncRNA from 1 species